AAAAAGAUCCUAGGUAGUUCAGCUCCUAGGGUGUCUUCCCAGAAUACAUUAUUGGCAAACACCGGAGGAACUGCUAGUAGUAAUAUUUUGUUCAAAAAAAUUUCCUUGGCUGCUUCCUUUGCAAGUACAUCAACUACUCUGUUUUGCUCCUUGUAAUAGUGCCUCACUACCAUGCUGCCCAUCCUUUGAAUCAACAAUCUACAUUCACAAAUUAAAGAGCCAAAUAUUAGGUUUCCACCAAUCAACAUAUUGAUUACUUCUGCAAAAUCAGUGUCUACUUGAAGCGUAAGUAAAUUGUUUUGUUCUGCUAAUUGAAGUCCUCUGAUGAGGGCUCUAAAUUCAUCCCCUAAGUUAGAUGUUUGUG
rnacentral:lncRNA from 1 species